ACAAUAAAACAGCUCGAGGGAAC
rnacentral:snRNA from 1 species